rnacentral:rRNA from 1 species
UACGAAGGGGGCUAGCGUUGUUCGGAAUCACUGGGCGUAAAGCGCACGUAGGCGGAUCUUUAAGUCAGGGGUGAAAUCCCGAGGCUCAACCUCGGAACUGCCUUUGAUACUGGGGAUCUCGAGUCCGGGAGAGGUGAGUGGAACUGCGAGUGUAGAGGUGAAAUUCGUAGAUAUUCGCAAGAACACCAGUGGCGAAGGCGGCUCACUGGCCCGGAACUGACGCUGAUACACGAAAGCGUGGGUAGCAAACAGG